AGUGAACGCUGGCGGUAGGCCUAACACAUGCAAGUCGAACGGCAGCACAGGAGAGCUUGCUCUCUGGGUGGCGAGUGGCGGACGGGUGAGGAAUACAUCGGAAUCUACUUUUUCGUGGGGGAUAACGUAGGGAAACUUACGCUAAUACCGCAUACGACCUACGGGUGAAAGCAGGGGACCUUCUGGCCUUGCGCGAUUGAAUGAGCCGAUGUCGGAUUAGCUAGUUGGCGGGGUAAAGGCCCACCAAGGCGACGAUCCGUAGCUGGUCUGAGAGGAUGAUCAGCCACACUGGAACUGAGACACGGUCCAGACUCCUACGGGAGGCAGCAGUGGGGAAUAUUGGACAAUGGGCGCAAGCCUGAUCCAGCCAUACCGCGUGGGUGAAGAAGGCCUUCGGGUUGUAAAGCCCUUUUGUUGGGAAAGAAAUCCAGCUGGCUAAUACCCGGUUGGGAUGACGGUACCCAAAGAAUAAGCACCGGCUAACUUCGUGCCAGCAGCCGCAGUAAUAC
rnacentral:rRNA from 1 species